rnacentral:misc_RNA from 1 species
GGAUUGUCAGCAUAGAAGUAAAAGGUCUGCCUCCAGUGUCGCCAGAGCUGGAGAACCUAAAAGAUCAUCUGUCACAGAACCAGAAUACGAUUCGAUUCGCAUUCUGGAAUGAAAUCACGGCGCAAUUUAAUCUCCUUUCACUUCCAAUCAAAACCCUAUCUACCUCAAAAUAGUUUGUAAUGCUCUACUUCUUAUACUGCUGCUUUCUUAAAAAUGGAACAAAAACUGUAAUUUGCAGAGACUUAGACAAUUUUGAAACCUAGGGUUACCUCUGAUUUGAGGGUUUGAGU